rnacentral:rRNA from 1 species
UAUGGUGACUAUUGCGGUGGUGUCCACCUCUUCCCAUUCCGAACAGAGAAGUUAAGCCCACCAGCGCCGAUGAUACUGCUAUACCAAGUGGAAAAGUAGGUCGUUGCCAAAU